rnacentral:rRNA from 1 species
UACAGAGGGUGCGAGCGUUGUCCGGAAUCACUGGGCGUAAAGGGCGCGUAGGUGGCCUGAUAAGUAGGGGGUGAAAUCUCGAGGCUCAACUUCGAGGCUGCCUCCUAAACUGUCAGGCUUGAGCAGAGUAGAGGCGAGUGGAAUUCCCGGUGUAGCGGUGGAAUGCGUAGAUAUCGGGAAGAACACCAGUGGCGAAGGCGGCUCGCUGGGCCGAUGCUGGCGCUGAGGCGCGAAAGCGUGGGGAGCAAACAGG